rnacentral:rRNA from 1 species
GACGGAGGGUGCAAGCGUUGUUCGGAUUGACUGGGCGUAAAGGGCGUGUAGGCGGUUGGUCAAGUCUGAUGUGAAAGCCCGGGGCUCAGCCCCGGAAGGGCAUCGGAAACUAGCCAGCUGGAGCGUGAUAGAGGAGGGUGGAAUUCCUGGUGUAGCGGUGAAAUGCGUAGAUAUCAGGAGGAACACCGGCGGCGAAGGCGGCUUCCUGGACCGACACUGACGCUGAUGCGCGAAAGCUAGGGGAGCAAACGGG